UACGUAGGGGGCAAGCGUUGUCCGGAAUCAUUGGGCGUAAAGCGCGCGUAGGCGGCCCGGUAAGUCCGCUGUAAAAGUCCAGGGCUCAACCCUGGAAAGCCGGUGGAUACUGUCGGGCUAGAGUCCGGAAGAGGCGAGUGGAAUUCCUGGUGUAGCGGUGGAAUGCGCAGAUAUCAGGAGGAACACCGAUGGCGAAGGCAGCUCGCUGGGACGGUACUGACGCUGAUGCGCGAAAGCCAGGGGAGCAAACGGG
rnacentral:rRNA from 1 species